rnacentral:tRNA from 2 species
UGCCAUCGAGGGUUCGAAUCCCUCUCUCUCCU